UACGUAGGGUGCAAGCGUUAAUCGGAAUUACUGGGCGUAAAGCGUGCGCAGGCGGUGCUGUAAGUCAGGUGUGAAAUCCCCGGGCUUAACCUGGGAACUGCAUUUGUGACUGCAUCGCUGGAGUGCGGCAGAGGGGGAUGGAAUUCCGCGUGUAGCAGUGGAAUGCGUAGAUAUGCGGAGGAACACCGAUGGCGAAGGCAAUCCCCUGGGCCUGCACUGACGCUCAUGCACGAAAGCGUGGGGAGCAAACAGG
rnacentral:rRNA from 1 species